UGUUUGAUUAAAGUUUUUGUUUUGUUUAAUAAUUUAUCUUAUAGGGUGUUUAUUUAUUUUCUAAUGGUUGAUUUUUUAUAAAAUUUGUUAUAGAGCUUGAGGACAAAGUUUGUGCCAGCAGUCGCGGUCAUACUCUAUUCAUUAAAUCUGAUUUUUAUAAGGGAGUGUGUUUUAUUGGUUUUUAUUCUUGAGUGAAAUUUUUGAUAUUAUUUUAUUUUUCCUGAUUUUAUAUAACUUUAUAGAGGACCAGGAUUAGAUACCCUGUUACUUUAGGGUUGUUUUAAAGUAGUAAAGUAUGAAUCUUAAACUUAAUUUAUCUGGCGGUUUAUUUUUCUACCAGAGGAAUUUGUGAAAUUUAAUCGAUAACCCGCUUUUAUGUUCACCAAUGUUUUCUUUAUGUACGGCUGUUUAGUUGAAAAUUAUAUUUUUUUGCUGGAUAUUUUUUUUUCUAGUUCAGGUCAAUGUGUAGGUUAUACAAUGGGGUUUUGUGAGUUACUUUAAUUUUUGUAAUCUUUUAUUUGUUUUUUAGAUUGGAUUUGGAAGUAAAUUUUAAAUUAAAUUUAAAAUUGGUGUGGAUUUUAAUAAAAGUACAUAUCGCCCGUCACUCUUUUGAUAGAUAAGUCGUAACAAAGUAGAGGUACUGGAAGGUGUCUCUUGUUU
rnacentral:rRNA from 1 species